ACAAGCUGACGAGUCCCAAACAGGACGAAACGCGCGUCCUGGAU
rfam:Schistosoma mattheei strain Denwood, Zambia genome assembly, scaffold: SMTD_scaffold0016384